rnacentral:siRNA from 1 species
ACGUCAUAUUUGGGCUUAUAUGUC